rnacentral:rRNA from 1 species
GUGGGUCAGCAGCUGACGAGUCGAUUG